rnacentral:lncRNA from 1 species
ACUUAAUUAGUUAGUUAGAUACCUACCACAUGGUACACCCGAUUGCUUAAGUACAUAAAUUCGUAUUUUACAGACCAUAUACUAAUGUGGUUUGAAAAUAAAGAAUUACUUACACCCCUAAAAAAUGAUAGCGAGGUUUAUCCAGCGUAAACUUUUGUACACUUCGGUAGCGACUCCAGAUUUCUCUUAUCAUAAAAAUAUAUAAAAUAGAAUAAAAUAAAAAGCUCACUGCACCAACAGAACGCAGAACGUAAGUUAUCUGAUUAUAAAAAAAAAAAAAAAACCUAAGUUAUCUCUGCAAAUUGUAAUUAUUUUUUUUUGUCGGAGUUUGAAAAUUGUAAAUUGAUAAAAUCGGAUGUUUUUGUUUUUUUAGAACACAGUAGAUAUGUUUAUUAGUA